GAGUUUGAUCGUGGCUCAGGAUGAACGCUAGCUACAGGCUUAACACAUGCAAGUCGAGGGGCAGCAUGAACUUAGCUUGCUAAGUUUGAUGGCGACCGGCGCACGGGUGAGUAACACGUAUCCAACCUGCCGAUGACUCGGGGAUAGCCUUUCGAAAGAAAGAUUAAUACCCGAUGGCAUAGUUCUUCCGCAUGGUAGGACUAUUAAAGAAUUUCGGUCAUCGAUGGGGAUGCGUUCCAUUAGCUUGUUGGCGGGGUAACGGCCCACCAAGGCAUCGAUGGAUAGGGGUUCUGAGAGGAAGGUCCCCACAUUGGAACUGAGACACGGUCCAAACUCCUACGGGAGGCAGCAGUGAGGAAUAUUGGUCAAUGGGCGCUAGCCUGAACCAGCCAAGUAGCGUGAAGGAUGACUGCCCUAUGGGUUGUAAACUUCUUUUAUAUGGGAAUAAAGUGCAGUAUGUAUACUGCUUUGCAUGUACCUUAUGAAUAAGGAUCGGCUAACUCCGUGCCAG
rnacentral:rRNA from 1 species